rnacentral:rRNA from 1 species
UACGGAGGGGACUAGCGUUGUUCGGAAUUACUGGGCGUAAAGCGCACGUAGGCGGAUUUGUAAGUCAGGGGUGAAAUCCCGGGGCUCAACCUCGGAACUGCCUUUGAUACUGCAAAUCUCGAGUCCGGAAGAGGUGAGUGGAAUUCCUAGUGUAGAGGUGAAAUUCGUAGAUAUUGGGAGGAACACCAGUGGCGAAGGCGGCUCACUGGACCGGUUCUGACGCUGAGGCGCGAAAGCGUGGGGAGCAAACGGG